ACGUGGUUGCUAGAUGUUGAAACUAAAAUCCAGUUUCCUCUAAUUAAUACUUUGUUGAUCUUAGCAUGGAAUUUGCCUCUUGUAAUUGACAGGGAAUGAAACUGCUUCCAACUAGUCGGAAGAGUUCCCUUGGUCGAAUUCUAGUUAAGACCUGCAAAAAGAAUAAGCCAAAUAUUAAUUAGAUACUAAUUGUUCGUGUAAAUAUCAAAAGAGAUACAAUUAUCAUAAGUCAUUACCAGUUUUCAAUUCUCAUGUUCAUCAGGUCAUAGCUACCGGACUGACUACUUUUAGUGAACCAGAGUCUGAUCCGGUCUGGCAUUAUUUCAAUAUACAGCUUUAUGUUGGGGAUGCAUCUAAGAACUGGAAGUUGGUUCAGUCGAAAGGGAAUAGUCGAUUCUCUCUGAGAGCCAUCAGAAAAUCUGAUCUUGCUGGACUAUACUUCAACCGAGAAAUGGAAGGGUAUUGUAGAUUUCGAUGAUCAUCUUGACGAUAUAAGCAAGAAAGACUGGGCCAGCUGUAGCAGCAUGAUGGCAAAGUAGAACUAAAGAAGCAUGAUUUCUUGCACUAUUCUUAUCUGUAAAUGUUCUUCAUUAUUGAUUACUAAUGAGCUUGUACUGAUGUUUGUGCCUCGGCCAUUGAAAUUUUAUGUUAAUAUGUACUUUAUAAACGUGCUUUUAAUUUCUUAGUCAAUGCCCCAAUGGUCCUUAUGUUGAUUUCUGGCAAAAUCAUGGUGCUGUUGUACUUCCAUUGUAUAGUUGCAUUAUUAGUUAUUGAUAUCAUUGCCUUAAUGUGUACAGAUA